rnacentral:rRNA from 1 species
UGCAAGUCGAACGGAAAGGCCCUUCGGGGUACUCGAGUGGCGAACGGGUGAGUAACACGUGGGUGAUCUGCCCUGCACUUUGGGAUAAGCCUGGGAAACUGGGUCUAAUACCGAAUAGGACCGCAUGCUUCAUGGUGUGUGGUGGAAAGCUUUUGCGGUGUGGGAUGGGCCCGCGGCCUAUCAGCUUGUUGGUGAGGUAAUGGCUUACCAAGGCGACGACGGGUAGCCGGCCUGAGAGGGUGACCGGCCACACUGGGACUGAGAUACGGCCCAGACUCCUACGGGAGGCAGCAGUGGGGAAUAUUGCACAAUGGGCGCAAGCCUGAUGCAGCGACGCCGCGUGAGGGAUGACGGCCUUCGGGUUGUAAACCUCUUUCGCCAGGGACGAAGCGCAAGUGACGGUACCUGGAGAAGAAGGACCGGCCAACUACGUGCCAGCAGCCGCGGUAAUACGUAGGGUCCGAGCGUUGUCCGGAAUUACUGGGCGUAAAGAGCUCGUAGGUGGUUUGUCGCGUUGUUCGUGAAAACUCACAGCUUAACUGUGGGCGUGCGGGCGAUACGGGCAGACUUGAGUACUGCAGGGGAGACUGGAAUUCCUGGUGUAGCGGUGGAAUGCGCAGAUAUCAGGAGGAACACCGGUGGCGAAGGCGGGUCUCUGGGCAGUAACUGACGCUGAGGAGCGAAAGCGUGGGGAGCGAACAGGAUUAGAUACCCUGGUAGUCCACGCCGUAAACGGUGGGUACUAGGUGUGGGUUUCCUUCCUUGGGAUCCGUGCCGUAGCUAACGCAUUAAGUACCCCGCCUGGGGAGUACGGCCGCAAGGCUAAAACUCAAAGAAAUUGACGGGGGCCCGCACAAGCGGCGGAGCAUGUGGAUUAAUUCGAUGCAACGCGAAGAACCUUACCUGGGUUUGACAUGCACAGGACGCCGGCAGAGAUGUCGGUUCCCUUGUGGCCUGUGUGCAGGUGGUGCAUGGCUGUCGUCAGCUCGUGUCGUGAGAUGUUGGGUUAAGUCCCGCAACGAGCGCAACCCUUGUCUCAUGUUGCCAGCACGUUAUGGUGGGGACUCGUGAGAGACUGCCGGGGUCAACUCGGAGGAAGGUGGGGAUGACGUCAAGUCAUCAUGCCCCUUAUGUCCAGGGCUUCACACAUGCUACAAUGGCCGGUACAAAGGGCUGCGAUGCCGUGAGGUGGAGCGAAUCCUUUCAAAGCCGGUCUCAGUUCGGAUCGGGGUCUGCAACUCGACCCCGUGAAGUCGGAGUCGCUAGUAAUCGCAGAUCAGCAACGCUGCGGUGAAUACGUUCCCGGGCCUUGUACACACCGCCCGUCACGUCAUGAAAGUCGGUAACACCCGAAGCCGGUGGCCUAACCC